rnacentral:lncRNA from 1 species
AACAAACUAAUUUAUGCUCCAACAGAUUAUUACCACUGAUUAAAUGCUUUCCCUUCCAAAGAAAUAUUUCCAGAGCAAAAGAGAAAGGCAAAUUAAAAUGCUAAAGGCUUCAGCUUUACACUUUUGAAGAAAAAGCAAGGUACAAAAUUAUCUUUCACAUCUAAAAAGGAAAAAAGCGAAGCAAUUUCCUCGCAUCUUCUCUCGCUGGAAAAAAGCGAAGCAACUUCCUCGCACCUACUCUCGCUGUCUCCUUUACUUGUGCUGUUAAAAAAGAAGCCAAAAAGAGACUACGCACCACCAUUUCUACAUCCCCAUUUCUCUCUCUCUGCCGCUAGCAGAUCUGAAGCUAGAAGAAGAAGAUGGUGUCCCGGCCUCUCAACGAUUUCUUUUGCAGAAAUCCUCCUUCUCUGUUCGCGUUCUUCUUCUUUAGUGAUUAAAGUGAGUAGCUUGGUUAAGGAAGCUGAAGAAGUGGAGGCCAGGCUGCGCGAGGCGGUCGAAGUGCCCCCGCCUCUCAACGGUUUCUUCUGUAGAAAUCCUCAUUCUCUGUUCGCAUUCUUAUUCUUUAGCAAAGCAAAGAAAAUCAGUAGCUUACCCUAAUUUUAUGCCCAAUUAAAGACUUUCCAACUUAAAAUUAAUUAUAACCAAACGACGUCGUAUAAUAUGAUACAAAGUGACGUCGUUUCAUCCACCGGCCGUUUAUUACACGCUGGCAAUUCCGGCUGCCACCUCACAUUGGAUUUGGGUGAAAUUUCAACUUAUGGGAGGAUAUUUAAGAAUCAAUUCUAAAUUCAUGUAUUUUCUGGCAAAAAACAAAAGGUCAUGAUAUAAACCAGAAAAUUGGCAAACUUGAUGAAUUUUGCGGCAAUAACCCCUAUAAUUAAUAUUCUUUUUUUUAAAAAAUGCAAGGCAAAAAAAGACGUCGUUUCGUACCAUAUCAUUUAAAAACAUCCACUCUGAAAUUUAAAAUCACUACUAUCGUAUUUGAAAUUCACGCUAAUAACCUAGAAUUAGGGAUAAACACGAUAGAAUAUGGUACGAGACGAAGUCGUUUUUUACAUAUCAUUUAAAAAAAUAGAAUAUAAAUUACAUUGUGACAUCUGGCGAGCCACAUCACGUUUUUGGUGACCGAANAAAAAGCGAAGCAACUUCCUCGCACCUACUCUCGCUGUCUCCUUUACUUGUGCUGUUAAAAAAGAAGCCAAAAAGAGACUACGCACCACCAUUUCUACAUCCCCAUUUCUCUCUCUCUGCCGCUAGCAGAUCUGAAGCUAGAAGAAGAAGAUGGUGUCCCGGCCUCUCAACGAUUUCUUUUGCAGAAAUCCUCCUUCUCUGUUCGCGUUCUUCUUCUUUAGUGAUUAAAGUGAGUAGCUUGGUUAAGGAAGCUGAAGAAGUGGAGGCCAGGCUGCGCGAGGCGGUCGAAGUGCCCCCGCCUCUCAACGGUUUCUUCUGCAGAUUUCCUCCUUCACUGUUCGCAUUCUUAUUCUUUAGCAAAGCAAAGAAAAUCAGUAGCUUACCCUAAUUUUAUGCCCAAUUAAAGACUUUCCAACUUAAAAUUAAUUAUAACCAAACGACGUCGUAUAAUAUGAUACAAAGUGACGUCGUUUCAUCCACCGGCCGUUUAUUACACGCUGGCAAUUCCGGCUGCCACCUCACAUUGGAUUUGGGUGAAAUUUCAACUUAU